rnacentral:rRNA from 1 species
GCAAGUCGAACGAGAAAGCAACUUCGGUUGUGAUUAAAGUGGCGCACGGGUGAGUAACACGUAGGUGACCUACCUUUUGGCGGGGGAUAACUCGAAGAAAUUCGGGCUAAUACCGCGUAAGUACAUCGAAGAUAAAACUAGAUGUAGAUAGGAUGCCUCUCCUUGGAAGCAUUCGCCGAAAGAUGGGCCUGCGGGACAUUAGUUUGAUGGUGGGGUAAUGGCUUACCAUGACUACGAUGUCUAGCUGGUCUGAGAGGAUGAUC